UCUAGUUUUGUAGUUUAUAAAUGGUAUUAGAGACAAUCUCAAACUAAUAACUAAUACUAAUGGAUGUGCUGGUUUUCUAUGUUGGGUACAUGAAUUUUGUUUGAAUUCUUUAACAUCUUCCAUAAAGGUUAGAUGAAGAUGAUGAGAGAAAAAACUCUUAGAGUAGUUAACUUUCAUGAAUGAUUCUCUAAUUACACUCUAUCAUUCUAGAUGGAAUGAAAUAACAAAAUCUC
rnacentral:lncRNA from 1 species